rnacentral:rRNA from 1 species
AUUGAACGCUGGCGGCAUGCCUUACACAUGCAAGUCGAACGGUAACAGGUCUUCGGAUGCUGACGAGUGGCGAACGGGUGAGUAAUACAUCGGAACGUGCCUAGUAGUGGGGGAUAACUACUCGAAAGAGUGGCUAAUACCGCAUGAGAUCUACGGAUGAAAGCAGGGGAUCGCAAGACCUUGUGCUACUAGAGCGGCCGAUGGCAGAUGAGGUAGUUGGUGGGAUAAAAGCGUACCAAGCCGACGAUCUGUAGCUGGUCUGAGAGGACGAUCAGCCAAACUGGGACUGAGAAACGGCCCAGACUCCUACGGGAGGCAGCAGUGGGGAAUUUUGGACAAUGGGCGAAAGCCUGAUCCAGCAAUGCCGCGUGCAGGAUGAAGGCCCUCGGGUUGUAAACUGCUUUUGUACGGAACGAAAAGCCCUGGGUUAAUACCCUGGGGUCAUGACGGUACCGUAAGAAUAAGCACCGGCUAACUACGUGCCAGCCGCCGCCGUAA